rnacentral:rRNA from 1 species
AGCGAACGCUGGCGGCAGGCUUAACACAUGCAAGUCGAGCGCCCCGCAAGGGGAUCGGCAGACGGGAGAGUAACACGUGGGAACAUACCUUUUGGUUCGGAACAACUGAGGGAAACUUCAGCUAAUACCGGAUAAGCCCUUACUGGGAAAGAUUUAUCGCCGAAAGAUUGGCCCGCGUCUGAUUAGCUAGUUGGUGAGGUAACGGCUCACCAAGGCGACGAUCAGUAGCUGGUCUGAGAGGAUGAUCAGCCUCACUGGGACUGAGACACGGCCCAGACUCCUACGGGAGGCAGCAGUGGGGAAUAUUGGACAAUGGGGGCAACCCUGAUCCAGCCAUGCCGCGUGAGUGAUGAAGGCCUUAGGGUUGUAAAGCUCUUUUGCCCGGGAAGAUAAUGACGGUACCGGGAGAAUAAGCCCCGGCUAACUUCGUG